rnacentral:rRNA from 1 species
UAUGUGUAAAAACGUUUAUGGUGUGUUUAUUAUUCAUAAUAAAUACUAGUAAAAAUAACGGAAAUGUAUUAUUAGCAGAAAAAGUACUGAAAAGGAAGUAUGUGUUAAAGAUUAUUAAGUAUAGCCAUAAGCUAGUACCUUUUGUAUCAUGGUUUAGUGAGAGAUAAGGCUAAAGUAGUGCUUCUCGAAGUUAGGGGAGCUUUUUUGCUUUUAGAUGUUAGGCAAAUUUAUUAUUAAGUGUGGCAUAACUUAAGUAAAAAAGCAAAAAAGGUGUGAAAUUCUUUUCGUUCCUAGUGAUAGCUAGUUUCUACAAAAAGACAUAAAGUGUCGUGGUUUGGUGUAUAUUGCAGUUAUAAUUAUACUGUAAUUGGCAAAGGCCAGUGAGAUAGUAGAGGAUAAGCUCUACUAAGGCAGGACCGUGUGAUGUGUUAUAGCGCUAAGCUUAAAAUUAGCUAAGAAAAAUGCAGGCUGUUAUAGGUGAUAAGUGUAAAGUCAUCAUAAGAUUUAGUUUCAUAUAAGAAAAUGUAGAUGUGCUAGUAAAUAAAAUGUUCAGUAUUAAUUAUGCUAAAAUGAGUAUUACGUCUUAGAAUUAAUCGUGUAUUAAAAAUAGAAAGUGCAAUAUGAAAAAUCUAAGUAGUUAGUAAAAUUAAAUUUUCAAAAGGAAUUCGGCAAAUUUAAUCCUUGCCUGUUUAGCAAAAACAUGGCUCUUUGCUGGCUAUAAAGAGUUGAGCCUGCCCAGUGAAAUUUUUUAAACGGCCGCAGUACUUUGACUGUGCUAAGGUAGCAUAAUCACUUGCCUUUUAAUUGGAGGCUAGAAUGAAAGGUUUGUCAGGGAUUGACUGUCUCUAGAGAAAAAAUAAAAAUUAAUAUUUAGGUCAAAAAGCCUAGAUACCAUUAUUAGACGAGAAGACCCUAUCGAGCUUUAUUAAUUGUUUGGAGAGGGUGUUAAUUGUCCAGGCAUUAGUUUGGUUGGGGCGACAAAGGAGAAAAUAAAGCCUCCUUUAUAUGUAGAGGAAAGUAAAUAGCUAACGAUCCAUUAUUAAAAUAAUGAUAAUAAGAAAAAGUUACCGUAGGGAUAACAGCAUAAUUUUUUUUGAGAGUCCGUAUCGAAAAAAAAGUUUGUGACCUCGAUGUUGGACUAGGAUAGCCUAAAGGUGCAGAAGCUUUUGAGGGUGGGUCUGUUCGACCCUAAAAAUCCU